rnacentral:tRNA from 1 species
UGGGCUGUGGCUCAGGGGUGCAGCGCUCGCCUGGCAUGCGUGAGGCACUGGGUUCCAUCCUCAGCACCACAU